rnacentral:rRNA from 1 species
GUGCCAGCAGUCGCGGUAAUACGUAGGUGGCAAGCGUUGUCCGGAUUUAUUGGGCGUAAAGCGAGCGCAGGCGGUUUCUUAAGUCUGAUGUGAAAGCCCCCGGCUCAACCGGGGAGGGUCAUUGGAAACUGGAAGACUUGAGUGCAGAAGAGGAGAGUGGAAUGCCAUGUGUAGCGGUGAAAUGCGUAGAUAUAUGGAGGAACACCAGUGGCGAAGGCGGCUCUCUGGUCUGUAACUGACGCUGAGGCUCGAAAGCGUGGGGAGCGAACAGGAUUAGAUACCCUGGUAGUCCACGCCGUAAACGAUGAGUGCUAAGUGUUGGAGGGUUUCCGCCCUUCAGUGCUGCAGCAAACGCAUUAAGCACUCCGCCUGGGGAGUACGACCGCAAGGUUGAAACUCAAAGGAAUUGACGGGGGCCCGCACAAGCGGUGGAGCAUGUGGUUUAAUUCGAAGCAACGCGAAGAACCUUACCAGGUCUUGACAUCCUUUGACCACUCUAGAGAUAGAGCUUCCCCUUCGGGGGCAAAGUGACAGGUGGUGCAUGGUUGUCGUCAGCUCGUGCCGUGAGAUGUUGGGUUAAGUCCCGCAACGAGCGCAACCCUUAUUGUUAGUUGCCAUCAUUUAGUUGGGCACUCUAGCGAGACUGCCGGUG